AACCCAUAGUGAGGGCACCUUCUCAACAAAUCCUUGUAUCUCUCCCAUGCAUCAUAUAAUGUUUCUAAAUCCAUCUACAUAAAUGAAGAGAUAUCAUUCCUCAAUUU
rfam:Gossypium hirsutum cultivar TM-1 chromosome 19, whole genome shotgun sequence